UACGAAGGGGGCUAGCGUUGUUCGGAAUUACUGGGCGUAAAGGGUGCGUAGGUGGUUUAGUACGUCAGAAGUGAAAUCCCCAGGCUCAACCUGGGAAUUGCUUUUGAGACUAUUAGACUUGAGUACAGGAGAGGUGAGUGGAAUUCCCGGUGUAGAGGUAAAAUUCGUAGAUAUCGGGAGGAACACCAGUGGCGAAGGCGGCUCACUGGCCUGUAACUGACACUGAGGCACGAAAGCGUGGGGAGCAAACAGG
rnacentral:rRNA from 1 species